GUGACAGAAAGCAGAUUAGUACAGCAACUAACUGAAAACUAAACAAACACUGUUCCUAAAGCCCACAGAACAUGUCAACAGGCCGUAAUGUGUCUCUCUCUCUCUUCCUUUGUUUCAACCCACUCACUCAAUUAUAUCAAAUGUGAUGUCCGGUUGGAUGUGUCAGUUGAAGAAUCCACUGGGAAUAAAAAAGGGAAAUGAAUUAGUCACAGCAGUAAUUUCUCCUCUCUAUUCUCCCAGGUCCACCCACUUGGAUUAAUCUCCAAGUGAACACUAAGUUGAUCCUGGUAACUCCCCUCUUGUUGUCAGCACUUGGGUUUGAUCUGGCCACAUGGCCCUACUUGGACCGAAGAGAAAUAAGGCUUCUUCUGCCAUUGCCAAUUUCUUAACUCCAUCAAGGCUACAGAGGUCAUUGCUGAUGAUGGCAGCAGCAGUGGUGACGUUGGUGACAUUGGUGAUGGUGGUGGGUCAGCACUCUGAGCAUCCAAUCUCAGUUGCCGUCCAAGACCUGACCAGAACCCAGAGAGAGCAAGCCUGUCCUCUUCGACCAAAAUCCCACCCGCUUACCUGUGACCACAUCCGAAUGGGCGGGGUCAGCGCCACAGGUGAUGGCACCGGUGACGAUGACGGCAGCAACAGGCUGAGAGCUAUUCCUUCCUGUGUCUACCAGAGAGACUGACUACAGUGGUUUUUACUGUGACACAUCCUUCAUUUCAUUCCACCAGAGCCUUGUUCAGAGAACCCCAUCUCUAUGAACUGAUAUUAACCGCCAUCCUAGGUAGAGAGCUGGCUGCAGUUUGUAGGGACUGACUUGAAGAGACAGGACUGCUUGGUCCGUGUGACUGAAUAGCAGCCAUAGAAGAAAGGAGUGGAGACAAGUGCCCCCUUUUACAAUGUUAAAUUGCAUUUAUUUGUUUGUUCGUGUGUGUGUGUGUGUGUGUGUGUGUGUGUGUGUGUGUGUGUGUACAAAUACCACAGCAAGAACACGUGGAGGUCAGAGAACAACUUGGGGGACUCAAUUCUCUCCUUUCACCGUGUGGCUUUUGGGGACGGAACUCAAGUCAUCAGGCUUAGCAGCAAGUGCCUUUAUUCACAAAACUGUCCCUGUGUCCCUCAAUAGUCACUCUUGUGGGGUCAUUUAGCUCAUCCCACACUGUCAGGUACACAGAGCGAGCUAGAUGCAAGUUCAGUUAUUGUAUGAUCACUGUGUAUAGGGGCUUGGAGGAGUCAUUUAAUUCUGGUUUGCAAAUUUCCCUUUUGAAAACAAUAAACUGAUGCUAAAAGAUAAUUUGGCUUAAGUUUGUAUUGUUACACAUUCAUUAAUAUAACAAUGGAUUUUACUAUGACAUGUCCAUACUUGUGUAUUGUGUAUUUUGAUCAUAUUGGUCUCCCAUCACCUUCUGGCCAGCUCCCACUCCUGUUGAUCCCCUCCCUCUUCCCAACUCAUCCUCUGUUUUCAUGUUUUUGUGAACCGAUGAGUUUCCUUAGCGUUGCUUGCAGAAGCACAGGCAAGAGUUUAUUUACAGGAGUACAGGCACCUUAGUGGCUACACCACAGAAGAAAACGUCCUCCGCUCCCCAGCAGCCACAAGGAUGGUUUUUGCUUUUGAUUUUAACUUCCUUUUAACCCGAAAGUAAUUUUCACAACUUUCAUCAACAAAGAAGACUGGGUUCCCACCUGCCUUCUAUAGGGUAAAAGGGACAGCCAAAGAAACACACCCUGACCCUGAGACCGGGGACAAGAGGUUUAAAAGGGCCAGUGAAAGAAACACACUCCAUCCCUGGCCAACUCAGUACAAAUAAACAAUCCCUGAGCAGGAAAACCAACCAAUCCCUGAGCACGAAAUCUUGUCAGUCUGUGAGUUUGUCCAAGUUUAGGGAUUGGAGUUUGAACAAUUCCUACACUGGAAAAAUUCUACCUCUGAGAAGCCCUAUAUAAGCCCUGUACCUGCUGAGUGGGGGCCACCUUUUCCACCCGGGCACAGGCAGCCACCCGCUUGGAUUCUUCCAUCCCGGUAAAUUCCUGAAUGAGGUUUGAGGAAGACCUUUCCCAGGAAUGGGAACAGAGAAGUAACAGCUUUCACUAGAGGGAGGGGCGAGCAGAAAUGUAACAACUUUACUGGGAAACCCUCCCCUGACAAUUGGAGUUGUUACAUUGGGGAAACCUUUCCCUGGAGAAGGGCUGUAAGUUGCUGUGUUUGGGUGACUCUAGUUUCCCUGGGCUCCUGACUCCCAGGAUCCUUUUUCAUCUGAGCUGCAAUGCUUACACCUUUGACACUGUUGGCUAUGAUAUCCACCUAGGCUGCAAGUAUCUCUCUGAGAUACUAAUGAGUCUGCCUUUCUAGACUCAUCUUAGGAUUUUGUUUGUUUAUUAUUUGUGUGUGGUGUGUGUGUGUGUGUGUGUGUGUGUGUGUGUGUGUCUGUGUGUGUGUGGCUAAGCGUAUGUGUGUGCCUUCAGAGACCAAAGGCAUCGGAUUCUCUGGAGCUAAAGUUACAAGUCAUUGUCACUGCCUAACAUGGGUGGCUGGGAACUGAAUCUGGGUCCUCUGGAUGAGCAACAGGUGCUCUUAGCCACUGGGCCAUUUCUCCAGGCCAUGAAGUGCCUUCUUAGAAAUGCAGAG
ensembl:lincRNA